rnacentral:tRNA from 2 species
CGCGGAGUAGAGCAGUCCGGUAGCUCGUCGGGCUCAUAACCCGGAGGUCGCAGGUUCAAAUCCUGUCUCCGCAAUCA